rnacentral:rRNA from 1 species
AUUGAACGCUGGCGGCAGGCCUAACACAUGCAAGUCGAGCGAGCGGCGGACGGGUGAGUAAUGUCUGGGAAACUGCCUGAUGGAGGGGGAUAACUACUGGAAACGGUAGCUAAUACCGCAUACCAUCAGAUGUGCCCAGAUGGGAUUAGCUAUUAGGUGGGGUAAUGGCGCACAUAGGCGACGAACCCUACCUGGUCGGAGAGGAUGACCAGCCACACUGGAACUGAGAACCGGUCCAGACUCGUACGGGAGGCAGCAGGGGGAAAGAUUGCAAAAUGGGCGAAGUCCUGAUGCAGCCAGGCCGCGGGUAUGAGGAGGGCCUGCGGUUUGUAAAGUACUUUCAGCGGGGAGACGUUACCCGCAGAAGAAGCACCGGCUAACUCCGUGCCAGCCGCCGCGGUAAUUC